rnacentral:misc_RNA from 1 species
UCUCCGUAGGUGAACCUGCGGAGGGAUCACUACAGAGUUCAUGCCCUUCGGGGUAGACCUCCCACCCUGUUUAAUUACUAUUGUUGCUUUGGCAGGCUGCCCUCACCAUGGGGCGUCCGGGUUCCGCCCGCGUCUUGCCUGCCAGAAGCCCCCUAAUUCUGUGUUCUGUGUCGUCUGAGUACUAUAUAAUAAGUUAAAACUUUCAACAACGGAUCUCUUGGUUCUG